ensembl:lncRNA
ACGCAACAUGCAAAAUGGCAUUAUUCUGUUGAAGAAACAUUUUUGUUGUAAUCUUGAUUCAUUACGCAUAAACAUGCGCUUAAACAUAAAAUGCAUAAACAUUGUUAAUCGUGAAAAUACCCAUAAAAAAGCCACACAAUACAGUGCCUCUUGGGAUAUUCUUUGUAAUGAUCGUAAAAUCUUUCAUUGACAUAAAGCCUCAUUUGCUAAUUAUAUUCCGCUUCUUACUAUAAUUUGUUUUAUCAUUCUGUGUUUUAUAUCCUGCUGUGCAGGUUCCGUGCUGUGAUCGAGCUCAUCAAACCAGAUCGAUGUGCCUGCACUGGAUAUAAAGAAUUACAAACUCUCCUUCUUUACUUAUAAAGAGGGCCAGUAAAAUGCUAAAGCAAGUGCCAUCAUGUACCUAUAAAAAAUGUGCUAAUGCAGACUACAGUACUUUGGUAAUAAAACAAAUAUAAAACAUCAUCAUAUUUCUCACUAACGCAGGUGACUUUCAAAAAUGAGACAGCAGGCGAGUACCUAUUCUUCAAUCUCAACUUCAAAGCAAUGGCUCCAGGAGUGAUCAGCACUAUAAAAAUGGCGACCCCGGUGAGGCAGAUGAUGACAGGGUCCGUGGGGGUGGAGAACCCUUUUCUUCUGGAUGUGUUGUUCUCUGCCGAGUGCCAGAAUGCAGACAUCAGUGUUGCUCCACAGUUUCUUGUGCCUGCUCAGUCUAAGGUGGACAACCCUGCCUUCACUGUCAGGGGCGCAGAGACUAUUUUACCUCAAAAAACGCAGCACAUACAGAUAUGGAGUCAAAGGCUGUUGCUCCAGGGUGCUCUUCUGUAGUCCACCAGGAGGUGCACUUGUUGCUCCUACAUCACCUUUAACAUGUCCCAUCUACUUGCAUGGUGGGAGGCAUAUUCCCUUCAUGACUCAAAUACAGAUAUUUCAUUGUGUGUGUGUGUGUGUGUGUGUGUGUGUGUGUGUGUGUGUGUUGGCAGCUGUGUCUGUUUCAUACUCAUUUGCAGUAUGAAUGUGUGUGAAAUCUCUUGCAUUUAUCUCUCAUUUUCCCAGCCAAGCCUUCCUGCAUGCUUUUUGCAUUUUCUAUAUAGUAUAUACCAGAUAGUAAACAAAUACAGCAUAUAAAAUUUAAAUACUACAGCUUUAUUUUUGUAUUUACUUUUCCUUCAUUACUUAUAUUUUAAUUACCUUAUUUUACUAUACCUGCUAUACAAAUUAUAAAAAUUAAUAUAUAUAUAAAUAUAGUUUAAAUAUUUAUUUUUAUAUUUAUAGUCACCUAAGCAAUGUAAAUAAUUGUAUAAAAAUAUGAGCUUUAAGUGUACACAGUCUGCCUCUGUAUCUAACCUCAGAUGCACAGGACCCACAAUAACCAUUCGGUAGUUUCAAUUUACCCCCUGUGCAUUUCAUGAUAUACCUGUGCUAAAAAGAGAGCCUGUCACUGCCAUGCACAAACUGGCUGCAAGGGGAGUUGAUCUGAGCAUGUCCAAAGACAAGGGAUUACUACUUGUUGUAAUUAUUUGAGCACCCUGUGUGUGAAGAAGGAGUAACAGGUUGUUGCUCUACAUUAAAGAGAUGCAUCCAAUUACUUGUUUUCUGUUUGCCCAAAUGCCUCACUAUAGGAAUGCAAACUGUAGGGGGGUUGUACUUGGUGCCAGUUAAAUAAAGGCCCUUUUAGUUGGAAUGAGUUAAUCA